GGCUAACGCUGGCGGCGUGUCUUAGCCAUGCAAGUCGAGCGGACUUAUGGGGUAACUUAUAAGUCAGCGGCGGACGGCGGAGUAACACGUAGCUAACCUACCCUCUGGACGGGGAUAACCUACCGAAAGGUGGGCUAAUACCCGAUGUAGUCAUCCUGUAUAGGGGUGAUGAAAGGUGGGCUUCUGUUUACAAGCUCAUGCUGGAGGAGGGGGCUGCGGCCUAUCAGGUAGUUGGUAGGGUAAUAGCCUACCAAGCCGAUGACGGGUAGCCGGCCUGAGAGGGUGACCGGCCCGAGGGGCACUGAGAUACGGGUCCCACUCCUACGGGAGGCAGGCAGGCUAGAAAUUUGGGCAAUGGGGGAAACCCUGACCCAGUGACGCCGCGUGCAGGAAGGAGCCCUUCGGGGUGUAAACUGCUGCGUGUAGGGAGAAGGGUACUAAGGUGAACAAUCUUAGUACUUGACGGUACUACAGGAGGAAGCCCAGGCUAACCUCGUG
rnacentral:rRNA from 1 species